rfam:Cajanus cajan CcLG08_165, whole genome shotgun sequence.
ACUCAAUGAUGAUAAAUCCAAAGGCUUUGUUUCUCUAAACAUUCGCAGUGGCCGCCCAAGAGCUUUCGCCUUCGCCGGGCUUGAGAGCUAGUGCUGAUUUGAUCCUUCCUUGGAUGUCUGAGAGU